UUACGAUGAAACUAAUUUGACCGAUGAC
rnacentral:sRNA from 1 species